AAAAGGGGGAAGGAUCUCUUUCUGGUGUUCUUUUCUCUGGAGUUUUAUGUUGUCUGGGUCAAGGAUGUAUACCUCAUUAACUUUUACAGAAGAGGAGAUACUGAGCUGGACUGGCCCAUUGGUGUGAGCCGUUAAAGAGGAUUUUGUUUCCAUCUCUUCUUCAAUUAAAAAGAUGGAAGUAUCAGUAGGUUAAGUGGUAGUGACACAGAAGUUGGAGGAAAGAUAUUGAAGGAAAGAUAUUGUGUUUUGAUAUUCAGGACGAAGUGGAGGAGAUUAGAGGUUCCCAUGUUCUUUUUCAUCCUUUGAAGACAUGAAUUGAAUGCAAGCAGCAUGCUGAUAUUUCAGUAUUCCUUCGGCUCAACAGUUCAGAGUACAGUCACAGCAAGAAAAGCAACCCAUGUAACCAUGAGUAGCCUGAGAUUCAUUUCACUGGAUUUCCCAAGAAUUAUAUUUUAAUUUGAAAGACCAUUGAACUCCUUCUGAUCUGAAAUUGAAUGCUGUAGAGCUCCUUUAAACUGCUUCUGGCAUUUAAAUGGCAUUGAAGGAAAGGAUUUCACAGCAGAUUUAAAUGAUUUCUGAGAAACUGAUCCUGAACUGAUAGUUAUUUUGAGGUGAGCAUUUAGGAGAUUUUCUCCAUGGACAAAACUUUGUUGGCCAAUGGGAGCAACAAGAAAGAACAAGGAAAGCACAGGUGGGUGUGUCUGGGGUCCUUUUCACUCAACAAAUCCAUAAAUGUUGCUUCAUAUCCUUCAUAUCCUUGGAAACAUGAGAGAUUUCUGUAAAAUGGAGUGAGGCCUGUUACAAAGAGAGGAGAUGAGGAUUAGCUCUUCCUCUUAAGGUGUAAAAACUGGAGGAAAUUGUACUCAGGCAUAUAUCUGCGUUUUGUGCUUUCCACACUCCUAAAGCCCUUGCAGAAUAUGGCAUUUCCUUUGAGAAUGAAGUUGUUAAAAGCAUCUGUAAGGUAUGGACUGAAUGAGCUAUAUAUCUUGGAGACAACAGCAAGG